rnacentral:rRNA from 1 species
AACGAACGCUGGCGGCAUGCCUAACACAUGCAAGUCGAACGAGACCUUCGGGUCUAGUGGCGCACGGGUGCGUAACGCGUGGGAACCGGCCCUUAGGUUCGGAAUAACUCCCCGAAAGGGGUGCUAAUACCGGAUAAUGUCUUCGGACCAAAGAUUUAUCGCCUUUGGAUGGGCCCGCGUUGGAUUAGCUAGUUGGUAGGGUAAAAGCCUACCAAGGCGACGAUCCAUAGCUGGUCUGAGAGGAUGAUCAGCCACACUGGGACUGAGACACGGCCCAGACUCCUACGGGAAGCAGCAGUGGGGAAUAUUGGACAAUGGGCGAAAGCCUGAUCCAGCAAUGCCGCGUGAGUGAUGAAGGCCUUAGGGUUGUAAAGCUCUUUUAACCGGGAUGAUAAUGACAGUACCGGGAGAAUAAGCCCCGGCUAACUCCGUG